rnacentral:rRNA from 1 species
AUUGAACGCUGGCGGCAUGCCUUACACAUGCAAGUCGAACGGUAACAGGUUAAGCUGACGAGUGGCGAACGGGUGAGUAAUGUAUCGGAACGUGCCCAGUCGUGGGGGAUAACUGCUCGAAAGAGCAGCUAAUACCGCAUACGACCUGAGGGUGAAAGCGGGGGAUCGCAAGACCUCGCGCGAUUGGAGCGGCCGAUAUCAGAUUAGGUAGUUGGUGAGGUAAAGGCUCACCAAGCCGACGAUCUGUAGCUGGUCUGAGAGGACGACCAGCCACACUGGGACUGAGACACGGCCCAGACUCCUACGGGAGGCGGCAGUGGGGAAUUUUGGACAAUGGGCGCAAGCCUGAUCCAGCCAUGCCGCGGGCGGGAAGAAGGCCUUCGGGUUGUAAACCGCUUUUGUCAGGGAAGAAAAGGUUCUGGCUAAUACCUGGGACUCAUGACGGUACCUGAAGAAUAAGCACCGGCUAACUACGUG